rnacentral:lncRNA from 1 species
AUAAAAUCAAUUCAUAUAAAUCUAGUAAUCAACAUGGCUUAUGAAUUUCUUAAAAGCUUUGGCUCGUGCCAAUAUCAUUCUCAUACCCAGUUAUCAGGGAUGCCUUGAUCGAGGGCUAUCCCAACCGAGUUCACCAAGGCUGUUAAAAGGUUAUGUACACAUAAAUCAUGUUUUUAUUUUGAAAACAUAGCCGUUCCUUGGUGUUGGCUGAGUUCCCCCUCACGUGGUGGUCUGACUUGAAGUGAACUCCAAAAGUGUUAACCUCAGGAGUUAUCCACCAGAGCCUCUCAUAUUGAGGUAAGAUAUAACGGGAUCGUGCCCCUCUAAUAGGCUGGUCCACGGAAACUCAUCCACUGCAAUAAGCUAAUAAUUAUCCCACCAAUCAAUAAAAUUCAAUAACAUGAUAUGGCAAUUAUUGUAAUUCAUAGCCUUUCAAGGCUAAAUACACAGUUCAUAUAUUUCAACACAAAUACCAAUUCAGCCAUUCAUGCAAAUAUUGUCAUAAGCCAUUCGAUUCAAACCAUGAAUUUACAACACAUGAAAUGGUCUCCAAUUACUCUAUUUUAAAGUCAUUAUUCAAUUUUAAAACAAUUUUAUGAAAUCAUUUCAUUAAAUCACAUUUGGUUUAUAAAACCAAAAAAUGAAUCAUUUAAUUAAUUUUCCAUGAAAUUCACAAAAUCAGAUAAAAACCAGUUUAGAUAAUUAAGACAAUAGCAAGUUUACUCACUAUGUCUAAAGUGUGGAUUUUCGAAGUACUCUGACUUCUGGUCCUCGGAUGCAAUUUUCUUGCCUUUAUCGAAGGACUCACCACCUUGACAUAGUACAAAAUCGAGAAACUUACUACAUUGGUACUAAAUUGAAAUUAAACUAAUUUAGACUACUACUGCAUGAUAUGGAAUGCAAAAUGCACGGGUAACCAUCUAAACCCAAUAUUGGCCUAAUUCGUCUUAUCACUCGAUUAAUUGGCCAACGAGUCCAAUUUAGCUCUAAAUUGCUCCAUUUCUUUUCCAAUACCUUAAUUCACCAAACACAAGUCAAAUAACCUAAAAUUUGGCAAAACCAUCUUCACUUUUCUUCUUAGAAUUUUCGGUCAAUAAUGGUGCAUUAACACCGUGAUUUUUCCUACUACUUUUUCACACCAUAAUUCAUCAUUUUCUAACCAAUUCUCUUAAAAUAAAAAAUCAAAUUCAUCCUCACUCAAUACAAGGUAGGUUCGACCAUUGAUGGGUGAUGGGGAAAAUGAAUUCUUUUCUUAUUGUUUUGCUUCUAGACAUGGUAAACUAACUAAAAACACUAACAUAACUUGAAAUCAAAUCAAUCCAACAUCAUUCUCUCUCCAUACCCAUUCGGCUAGCCAUGAAUUCACCAUGAAAACAUGAAAUUUAACCAUGGAAAAUAAGGAGAAAUGCUUAAGGAAAUAGAUUUCAAGUUUAAAUUGAAAAAUCCUACCUUUUUCACUUGUUUUCCUUGAUUUUCCACACUUUUUCUCUUGAAAUUCUCCACCUAGGGUUCUUGUUCUUUCUUUUCUUCCUUUGUUUCUCUUUGGCCAGCCAUAUGAAUGAGAAAUGGGCUGAUUUUAUGCUGAUUUUUAAGCCAAAAUAAUGAAUGGAUGAGAUUUUGACACAUGUCACCAUUCUAUUGGUCCAUGUGUCAUACUUAACCAUUAAGCAAUCUCUCUCCACCACUUAAAUUUCCUCAAUUAUCCAUGAUAAUAUUGGGUAAAAUCCAUGUGCUGGACAAAUGUUGGGAGGUGUAAAAUUACAAUUUUGCCCUUGGACGGUAAAAUGACUAUAUUACCCCUAUGCUCGAAAAAUAUGCUAGAGUUAAAAUUCUUCACUUCUCAAACUCAAAUUAUACUCCCAAUGAUCAAUCUUAGUAAAAAAUUCUAGCCAACACUCACAUCUUAACCUUGAGUGACAAAAUGACCAUUUUACCCCUAGGUAAUGAAAAUUCCAAUUUGACUCCAAAUCGGUCCUCGAACUUUGAAUCAUCAUUUUAAGUCAUUUUGUGGUUUUAAAAUUCUCAAUUUCAUCUUAAAAUCUCUAUUUGAACUAGUUCGAGGCUUAAAUCAACUUAGUUGUACCAUUUGGUACAUUGCUGUCCUUUAACGAUUUUCGAGGUACCAAAUAAGCAAACAUGCAUUCUUAUGUAAGAAUGGCAUAAUAAACAUAUUGUAGAGUCAGGCUUGACAACACUACCCCCCUUAAAAUAAAAUUUUGACCUCAAAAUUUUAUUUACUGAACUCAGAGAAAAGGUGAGGGUAUUAUUUUCUCAUAUAAUGCUCGACUUCUUAUGUCCUCCCCUUUAUAGGGAAUUUCGAUUUGUUCACCUCAUUUACCUCUAAUUCAACUCGAGUACUUCGCUUAUGUUUAUUAUUAUUCUUUAAAAUCAUAUCAACAGUAACCUUCACAAUUAUGAUCUCUUAUAUUGAGACACCAAGCAUGCUUCUAUUACUAUCAUUAAACUUGAACCAUAACUCCAUCUCAAUCAUAUCAAUUUCGAUAGCAUUUUAUACUUAUUUAGGUAUACCAAUCACUAUCUUAUUACUUCAUUCCAUAUCAAAUUUCUCGACUUUCAUUCAUUCAUCCUAUCCUCAUACACUAUUGUGUAGUUUACGGCACCAUUAACAUGCCAUACUCAUUCCUGUACAUAUCCUCAACGUUAUGGAAGAUUAAUGACUUCUGAUAAGAUUCUUGAUCGUUACAUUAUCUAUACAACUCAUCAAAUAUAUUGAGUUCAAACCUCGAACCACUAAAACCAUUCUUCAUUUUAGUUGGGUACAUCAUUAACUCCACACAUACGUAUACACGCACAUUCAAAUGUCCAUAUUCCUCAUUAUGUAUACGGGUCUCUGUUUUCAAAUACCUUCAGACUAAUUUCUCUUUGUUCAUUUCCAUCCAUAACCAAGAUUCAAUAGAAUAGUCUUCAUAAUUUAUACAAAUUCUCAUCAUGCCUGUGCAUAGUUUCACAUCAUUUACAUACUUAUUCUCUCUUUUUAUCAUUUCCAAUUUUAUGCUUAAGUUUCCUUAUACUAUAUAUCAUUGCAUCACAAUGUCAUCUCCAUUGAAUUAUAAUCUAUUAUACGUGUAUGCUUUAUAAUCCCAUUGAUACUUCAAAGAUUUAUCUUAACUUGAUCAUUGCAUCUUAUGCAAUACCACAAUUCCUAAGAGUCAUCCUUAUUCCUCGAUUAUCUUUCAUGCCUCUUACGUAUAUUGUAUCCUUAUUGCAUUCUGAUAUUUAUUUGUCACUUAAAACUCAGACUCAUUUGAAUCAUGUAUGCCUCAAGCAUUUCGAAUUCCAAUUUCCAUAAUAUAUUAGGAAAGUUUCAUUAUCUGACUUCAUUAUCAAGGUCAACUUCAAUCAUCCUUUGUUCCACUCUUUCAUAUGAAUAUAACAUCAUUCUUCCUUAACCAAUUCACAAAUUGUACUUGAAAUUGCAAGACUUGAAACUAGAUUCUCCUCAAGUACUUUUCAAUAUUAAUACUAAUAUCACUCUUAGAUUACAGCUUCCUUUUUAUAACCACAUAACUUAGUGCUUGCUUUCACGAGAUCCAUGGCAGAACUUCUCUUGACUAUUUCCUUGGGGAUAUCUAUCUUAAAUUUAUGUCUCACAACAUGUAAUCACUUAACCCGUAACUUAACCGUUUGUGUGGCAUCCCCUUCGGGGUCCACUCCAAGGUAUUGUUACGUCUGGGUUGCCAUCACUUGACUUACUCGCAUACGCUGCGCCUAAAGGCGGCACGACAGGCCCUGCAGGACCUUCUUGCCAAGUUUCGAACCCCAAACUUUUUUUGUUUGCCCCCUCGAAGGGAAAACCUUUGACCAUUUCAGCUUUUAACUCAUUCAUAUCGAUACCUUCCAAAACCUUAAAACUCUAGUUAACAAAACUUAGAAUCAAGUUCAAUGACUUUAGGUCAACUCGUAAGUUCAACUUCACAUCUGUCUCAUUUUAUUCAUAUGUCCUAGACAUUAAGUGUUCUUAACACCGCGGCACGGUGGCUGUUGGAGUUUACUUAAUCAAUGUUAUUCAUCUAUAUUUAAGGUUACUACACUAGUCAUUCUCAACCAUUUGGUUUCCCUCCAAGCUUACAUCAUAAUUUCCAUAACCAUUUAUAUCCUCUUGUGCUUAUCACAUAUAAUAGGUAAAGUCGAUAUUUUCAAAUUCAUCUCAUUCUAUAACACUUGUCAACAAUUAAUAAAUCCCACUUUAGAAUACUCUUUCUAUACUGUAUAGUAACUUCACCAUAUAGUAUCACAGCACUAUGUUCCUCCAUUUUACUAUCAUGCAUAUUCCACAGAAAUUAAUUAAAAGAUUUAUGUACCUUAACUAAUGCUAAUUCCAUUUAAUCAUAUCUUAAAUACUCCAAACUUGUAAAUUACAACUCCAAGAGUAUGUCCGUAGAUUAAUAAUCUUUAUAUAUUUCAUGAUCAUGAAAACUACAACUUACAAACUAGCUUUCGAUCAUAUGUACACUAUUAGAACAUUAAUUUCAACAUGUUUAAUUCUCCUUUGGUGGUAUGUUAAAAUCAUUCCUGGAUACAUUUCCAUAUUAACAUUGAUAUGCCUUUACCAUAGCAUUUAGUGCAAAUUUGAUGAAGGAAUUAUCUCCAAAUAACCCUUAAAUACAUAAUUAUCAAAUUGUAUACCACUAAAUGUUAAGAUCUUGACUUUAUUCAUCAAUAACCAAUCACAUUUAUUAAGUGAAUAAUUUACUUAGUUAUUACACCUUGCCUUUGCGAUCAUAAGAUCAAAGUUGUCCUAAACUUAGGAUGCAGAAGUUCUCUCUCUUAGAGUAUAUCCAAACAUCAACAUUUUCUAAAUUCCUUACUCUAGGGAGAUCACCUUCAAGACUGAUCAUUCGUAUCAUAGGCCACACUUUGAACCGAAUAAACUUUUAAAUUGAUCUUUCAAGUAAUUCAUAUAUCAGUCUCAAUUAUAAAACUUCAUAUGGCACUUAGACUAGAUUCGACAUUUCCAAAUCAUUUAACCUCAAGCUGUCAAUUCCACAUCCAGUCCUUUAAUCCCUUGGCUCCCCCUUUUUCUAUGCAUAGCAAAGUUCAAGCUCAUCCUUAGAGUAGAUUUGUUUACUAAUUUCUUACUUCAUGACCACACAUCAAUUAUAGUAAUUAUUGAUACUCACUCUCGAGUUAAUUCACGUGCUUAUAUCCAUGAACUAUAAUAGGUCCAAAUAAUUCUUGAAAUCUCAUGAUCUCUUAAUUAAAAUCAACAUCAGUUCCCUUUAAGCUGCUGUACCAAUUCAACACAUAUUCACAUAUAAAAUAUUUCAAAAUCCCAACACCACUUUUAUAUGGGCAUAACAAGCUCAAUUAACAUAGUGUUCUUAUCUUCAUGCACAUAAGUAUGGGUUUACCCUUACCUCAAUGCUUAAUUUAUACACUCCAAGUGAAUUACAACCAUCAUUAUUCAUUCUAAUCAAAGUGCACCCCUUAUUACUAUUAUCACACGUGCUCCUUUAUAUUAACCCCAAUACAAUCCAUAGUCCCCAAAUCUUUUUCCAAUUGACAACCAUGAGUUCAAUUGUAACUCCACCAAAUGAAUAAAUUAUCACGACCUAUUAGUCUAACUCCAAAUUUCUCCAUCCUUAAUCGAAGAGAUAUAUUAUUUCAUUAAUCUUUCAUUAGGAGCAUUCAUUUUAAGAUCUCUCUAACAUUGGCUCGUGUCACGGGUGGCAUCUUAAACUCGGACAACGGCCCUACUUAUGACCUUUUCAUGUCAUUAACAAAUAAGUGGAUUACUUGGAACAGGAGUUCAUAUAGCUCCCUGUCUCUGACUUAUGCUCCCAUAAGAUCUAUAAGAAGAAACAGAACGAGUCUAAACAACUCCAAAUUCUAUAUGCAGAUGCACGUAUUCUAUUCUAUCAAACCUAACUUAACUUGGGCCACACUGACACUGUAGCUUUUAAAACAACUUUAAACCCAAAAGCUCUAAUCUUUAAAACCAAAAGCUCUGAUACCAAUAGAAUUGUCAUGACUCGGAACUCUCCUCGAGCUUGUGACAACAGCCGCGACAUCUCGAUAGACAUUUAUUACCUGAAAUGUCAAUCGAAAUCUCGCAAGGCUUAACAUCAGUUUUUCUCGCUUCCCCUGUGAAUAUUAUUCACUAAAAUUAUGUUUUGAGAGAUUACAAAUAUUUUCCUAAUCAAAACAAUAAAAAAAACAAUUUAUUUCUCACAGGGGCAUUUUGGUCAUUUUUCCUCAAAAAUCUCGAAAUCAGCUAAAAAUGUAUUAUGCGAGUACAAAACACAUAAUUCAUAAUCAAAAAUAAAUUUGGAUGUCUAAAACAUUUGUUUAAAAUGAAAUUAUGACUAUUAGAAUAAAAUAAAAAUAUUCAAUUUUCUCAUAAAAUAAUAUUUUUAGAACACUGCAUAAAUAAUUUUUACAGCGUCAAAGCAAAAUAAAUUCAUAUAUAUAUCGUAAUACAGUAAGCUAGAGUAUUUAAUUUAAUUUACAGUAACAAAUGGGCCCACGAACGACUAAAAGUAUUAAAAGCAGUAAACCUACAGUUUGGAGGAUGCAAAUCCAAUGGUGGUCUUCGAUGAAAUUAGCUAUUUAUAGACUAUCCUGAGCUUGAAAUGUGUGGAAAGAAGGGUGGUGAGAUUAUAUAAUCCCAGUGAGUAAACAAAUACCAUCUAAAAUAUCUAAAACCGAGUAAAUUAAGACAAAUAAAACAGUUUAACAUACUGUAAUUCAUCACCUUUCAACUUGUUUCAUCCAAAUAAAAUCAAUUCAUAUAAAUUGAGUAAUCAACAUGGCUUAUGAAUUUUUUAAAAGCUUUGGCUCUUGCCAAUAUCAUUCUCAUACCCAGCUAUCAGGGAUGACUUGAUCGAGGGCUAUCCCAACCGAGUCUACCAAGGCUGUUAAAAAGUUAUGUACGCAUAAAUCAUGUUUUUAUUUUGAUAACAUAGUUGAUCCUUGGCGUUGGCUGAGUUUCUCCUCACGUGGUGGUUUGAUGUGAAGUGAACUCCCAAAGUGUUAACCUCAGAAGUUAUCCACCCGCGCCUCUCAUACUGAGGUAAGAUAUAACGG